CGCCGCUGCCGCCGCGUCGCCCUUCCUUCCUGUGAAGGGGAAAGGGAGGCCCAGCCAAGAUGUCCGCCUUCUUGACUCACCAGCAGAAAGUGCUGCGGCUCUACAAGCGAGCCGUGCGGCACCUCGAGGCCUGGUGCAUCCAUCGGGACAAAUUUCGGUACCAUGCCUGCCUGCUGAGAGCACGGUUUGACGAACAUAAAAAUGAGAAAGAUAUGGUGAAAGCAACUCAGUUGCUGAUGGCAGGUGAAGUAGAAUUUUGGGACUCCCAGCAUCCUGAGCCUUUAACCUUUCCUACUGCUCCCGGAGGUGUAGCUUUUGAGAGAAGUGAUACCUACAAGAUACCUGACUGGAUCUUAGAUCAGUGGCAUCCUUCCGAAAAGGCAAGGUUUCCUGACUACUUUGCGAAAAGAGAAAAAUGGAAGAAGCUGCGGAUGGAAAGCUGGGAAAGAGAGGUUCAGCAACUCAUGGAGGAGACUCCAGAAGGUGGUCCCACGACUGAAGCUCUGCCUCCAGCUCGCAGGGAGGGAGAUCUUCCUCCUCUCUGGUGGGACUAUGUCACCCGAUCUCGUGAGAACCCAAUUUAAACAGGUCCUUUCCUUAUACAGAAACAUUUAUGUAAAGGACAUUAUGAGAGACAGCUUGGAUCUAUUUCUGCAAAAGUCUUUUCCAACUCCAAUGAGCCUGAACAGACUACCUCUGGACACCCUCCUACCUUCAAACCUACUGAUUCAAAUGCAGAAAUCUUCAGGGACAGACUUAUGUGAAUGUGUUCCAUCUAAAAGGAGGACUCCCAUGGUGCAGUCCACAAAAACUUAUGCAAAAUAAAACUUCUUUGUCUUUCAGGUGCCACAA